GUUUAAGUCUAUGGUCUAUCUCUGAAUUUUUUUAUCAGAUGCAUAAGUUACAGUUGAUAUUUAAAAAGUAAAUAAGAAAAACAUGCGGGAGUCAGUGGGAACAGCCCUGGCCUUGAAGCCCAAGGUGUAUCUUGGUUGUGUCCAGCUGGGUGGCCUUGGGCAGGUCACUCCCCAGGGAACGAAGUGGGCCAAGGAGGGGCAAUCAGUGACCCACAGAAGGUCAGUACAGAUAGGUGGUGCUGGAACCUAAUCGGAGAAACGCGCUGCUCAGUGGAGAGGACACACAGCACUCCAGAGCUGGUGCGCAAGAAAGCGCGGAACUCCCCCCACCCCAUGGUGAGGAGGGUGGGCUCCCCCUCCACAGCCCCUCAGCCUUCUUUUUGGGGAGCAGUGUCAGCUCCUACGCAGCCAUUUAGCCUUCCUGCUGGUUGGAGUCGGCCACCAGAGGGCGCUGUGAGAGCGGGUCUCUAGGCCUGCAGCAUGGACGCAGCACUGGGCCCCCACCGCCAGUGCAAGGGUGGUCUUGCCUCUGAGGGGCAGGGGGAGGCUGUAGAGGUCAUGCAUGGUUCCGUGGGGAGGCGGGAGGAGGGCAGAGCGGUGCCUGCACCCAAGAUGUGGAAGGGUCCGCCUCAGCAGGCGUGCUCUCUCAGAACACAGACCUGGGAAUGGGGCCGUCAGGAGGACAAAGGCAGCCUUGGAAGGGGAGGAGGGCCUGGAAUGAAGGGCAACAUGGGGCACAUAGCAGAGGCUGGCAUCUGUGGUGGGUCGCCCACUGCAGGUUAGGAGGGGAUGGCCUACGUGCUACCAGGCCCGGGGAGCGCUUGGACGACUGACUUCUGUUUCAGUUAGGAUCAAUUCAUGACAGGUGGGAUGGAGGUGGGGGAUGGGAAACUUAUCUGUGAGGAGCUCCAGACAGCAGACACGGGGGUAAUGAGGGGUUCAUGGUUCACCCAUGGCCAACCUGGUCACUCCAGCAGCAAGGCAUUCUGGGAGUAGGAGAAAUGCUGAAUUCUGGAGAGGAAGACUUGGCUACAAACCUGUGGCCCUGGGGUGGAGCCGUCUGGCCCAGACAGAGUGAGCACUGUUCACAAGAGCUAAGACAUGGAAACAAUCCAAGUGCCUAUCGACUGAUGAUCGGAUACAGAAGAUGUGGGAUAUAUAUGAUGGAAUACUACUCAGCCAUAAAAAAAAACAAAAUCAUCCCAUUUGCAGCAAUAUGGAUGGACCUGGAGGGUAUUAUGCUAAGCAAAAUAAGCCAGACUGAGAAAGACAAACACCAUAUGAUUUCACUUAUAUGCAUAAUAUAAAC
rnacentral:lncRNA from 1 species